rnacentral:ncRNA from 1 species
AACUGCACACGCGGGAGCUCGCGCCGUAGCGGGCUGAGAGGGCGGCUGGUGUCGAUCGCGACCCGGUGCCGCCGACCGCUCGAACCUGACCGGGUAAUGCCGGCGUAGGGAGGAAGAGAUGACGGCUC